rnacentral:rRNA from 1 species
GACGAACGCUGGCGGCGUGCUUAACACAUGCAAGUCGAACGGAAAGGCCCUGCUCUUGCGGGGUGCUCGAGUGGCGAACGGGUGAGUAACACGUGAGUAACCUGCCCUUGACUUUGGGAUAACUUCAGGAAACUCGGGCUAAUACCGGAUAGGAGCUCCUGCUGCAUGGUGGGGGUUGGAAAGUUUCGGCGGUUGAGGCUGGACUCGCGGCUUAUCAGCUUGUUGGUGGGGUAGCGGCUUACCAAGGCUUUGACGGGUAGCCAGCCUGAGAGGGUGACCGGCCACAUUGGGACUGAGAUACGACCCAGACUCAUACGGGAGGCAGCAGUGGAGAAUAUUGCACGAUGGGCGGAAGCCUGAUGCAGCAACGCCGCGUGCGAGAUGACGGCCUUCGGGUUGUAAACCGCUUUCGCCUGUGACGAAGCGUGAGUGACGGUAAUGGGUAAAGAAGCACCGGCUAACUACGU